ensembl:snRNA U1 U1 spliceosomal RNA
AUACUUACCUGGCAGGAGAGACACCAUGAUCAAGAAGGUGGUUCACCCAGGAUGAGGCUCGUCCAUUGCACUCUGGCCAUCCUAUCCCCUGUGAAUUCCCCAAAUGUGGGAAUUUCAACUGCAUAAUUUAUAGUAGUGGGGGACUGCGUUUGCGCUCUACCCUG